rnacentral:rRNA from 1 species
UACGUAGGUGACAAGCGUUGUCCGGAUUUACUGGGCGUAAAGCGUGCGCAGGCGGUGAUGUAAGACAGGUGUGAAAUCCCCGGGCUUAACCUGGGAACUGCAUUUGUGACUGCAUCGCUGGAGUGCGGCAGAGGGGGAUGGAAUUCCGCGUGUAGCAGUGAAAUGCGUAGAUAUGCGGAGGAACACCGAUGGCGAAGGCAAUCCCCUGGGCCUGCACUGACGCUCAUGCACGAAAGCGUGGGGAGCAAACAGG